CCUACGGGCGGCAGCAGUGGGGAAUAUUGGACAAUGGGGGGAACCCUGAUCCAGCCAUGCCGCGUGUGUGAAGAAGGCCCUCGGGUUGUAAAGCACUUUCAGUGAGGAAGAACGCCUGGUGGUUAAUACCCAUCAGGAAAGACAUCACUCACAGAAGAAGCACCGGCUAACUCAGUGCCAGCAGCCGCGGUAAUACGGAGGGUGCGAGCGUUAAUCGGAAUUACUGGGCGUAAAGCGCGCGUAGGUGGCUUGAUAAGCCGGUUGUGAAAGCCCCGGGCUCAACCUGGGAACGGCAUCCGGAACUGUCAAGCUAGAGUGCAGGAGAGGAAGGUAGAAUUCCCGGUGUAGCGGUGAAAUGCGUAGAGAUCGGGAGGAAUACCAGUGGCGAAGGCGGCCUUCUGGACUGACACUGACACUGAGGUGCGAAAGCGUGGGUAGCAAACAGGAUUAGAUACCCUGGUAGUC
rnacentral:rRNA from 1 species